UCCUACGGGAGGCAGCAGUGAGGAAUAUUGGCCAAUGGGCGAGAGCCUGAACCAGCCAAGUCGCGUGAGGGAAGACGGUCCUAUGGAUUGUAAACCUCUUUUGCCGGGGAGCAAAAAGCGGUACGUGUACCGCAUCGAGAGUACCCGGAGAAAAAGCAUCGGCUAACUCCGUGCCAGCAGCCGCGGUAAUACGGAGGAUGCGAGCGUUAUCCGGAUUUAUUGGGUUUAAAGGGUGCGCAGGCGGCGAGUUAAGUCAGCGGUAAAAUUUCGGGGCUCAACCACGACGAGCCGUUGAAACUGGCUUG
rnacentral:rRNA from 1 species